AGUGAACGCUGGCGGUAGGCCUAACACAUGCAAGUCGAACGGCAGCACAGGAGAGCUUGCUCUCUGGGUGGCGAGUGGCGGACGGGUGAGGAAUACAUCGGAAUCUACUCUGUCGUGGGGGAUAACGUAGGGAAACUUACGCUAAUACCGCAUACGACCUACGGGUGAAAGCAGGGGACCUUCGGGCCUUGCGCGAUUGCAUGAGACGAUGUCGGAUUAGCUAGUUGGCGGGGUAAAGGCCCACCAAGGCGACGAUCCGUAGCUGGUCUGGGAGGAUGAUCGGCCACACUGGGACUGAGACACGGUCCGUACUCCUACGGGAGGCAGCAGUGGGGAAGAUUGGACAAUGGGCGCAAGCCUGAUCCAGCCAUACCGCGUGGGUGAAGAAGGCCUUCGGGUUGUAAAGCCCUUUUGUUGGGAAAGAAAUCCAGCUGGCUAAUACCCGGUUGGGAUGACGGUACCCAAAGAAUAAGCACCGGCUAACUUCGUGCCAGCAGCCGCAGUAA
rnacentral:rRNA from 1 species